GACCUCAAAUCAGGUAAGAAUACCCGCUGAACUUAAGCAUAUCAAUAAGCGGAGGAAAAGAAAAUAACAAUGAUUCCCUCAGUAACGGCGAGCGAAGAGGGAUAAGCUCAAAUUUUAAAUCUGUUGGGUUCCACUUAACAGAGUUGUAUUUUGAAGAAACGUUUUCUGCGUCCAGGAUUAGCCUAAAUCCUUUGGGAUAAGGUAUCAUGGAGGGUGAGAAUCCCGUUCAUGGUUAAUCUUAAGGAAGCUCUACGAUACGUUUUCCAAGAGUCGAGUUGUUUGGGAUUGCAGCUCAAAAUGGGAGGUAAAUUUCUCCUAAGGCUAAAUAUUGGCGAGAGACCGAUAGCGAACAAGUACCGUGAGGGAAAGAUGAAAAGAACUUUGAAAAGAGAGUUAAACAGUACGUGAAAUUGUUGAAAGGGAAACGAUUGAAGUCAGUCAUACCAACGGGAAAUCAACCUUUUGAGCUCGGUCUCGUGGGUUUGAAGAGUUUCAAAGCCUUCGGAUUCGCGGGAUUGGGAUCUCUUGGUGUACUUUUUCGUACGGUUAGUCAACAUCGGUUUUGAAUGUCAUAAAAUGACUGGAGGAAUGUAGCUUCGAUCUCGUAUUGAAGUGUUAUAGCCUUUGGUAGAUGUGAUGUUUGAGACCGAGGAUUGCAACGGAUACCCUUCAGGGCUAUUCGUCUGAUCUCUGAUACGUUGCCUUGAUGUUGAAAGCUUGCUUAUGAUGUUAGGGUAUUACGGUCAAAAGGUUAGAACGAAUUACAUUCGUUAAGGAUGUUGACGUAAUGACUUUAAACGACCCGUCUUGAAACACGGACCAAGGAGUCUAACAUAUAUGCGAGUGUUUGGGUGAUUAAACCCUUGCGCGUAAUGAAAGUAAUUUUGGUGAGAUCCGGGAAAAAAUUUUCGGAGCAUCAUCGACCGAUCAGGAUAUUU
rnacentral:rRNA from 1 species